UACGUAGGGACCAAGCGUUGUUCGGAUUUACUGGGCGUAAAGGGCGCGUAGGCGGCGCGGUAAGUCACUUGUGAAAUCUCUGAGCUUAACUCAGAACGGCCAAGUGAUACUGCAGUGCUAGAGUGUGGAAGGGGCAAUCGGGAAUUCUUGGUGUAGCGGUGAAAUGCGUAGAUAUCAAGAGGAACACCUGAGGUGAAGACGGGUUGCUGGGCCAACACGUGACGCUGGAGGCGCGAAAGCCAGGGGAGCAAACAGG
rnacentral:rRNA from 1 species